rnacentral:rRNA from 1 species
AUGAACGCUGGCGGCGUGCCUCAUACAUGCAAGUCGCGCGAACAGACGAGGAGCUUGCUCCUCUGACGUUAGCGGCGGACGGGUGAGUAACACGUGGAUAACCUACCUAUAAGACUGGGAUAACUUCGGGAAACCGGAGCUAAUACCGGAUAAUAUAUUGAACCGCAUGGUUCAAUAGUGAAAGACGGUUUUGCUGUCACUUAUAGAUGGAUCCGCGCCGCAUUAGCUAGUUGGUAAGGUAACGGCUUACCAAGGCAACGAUGCGUAGCCGACCUGAGAGGGUGAUCGGCCACACUGGAACUGAGACACGGUCCAGACUCCUACGGGAGGCAGCAGUAGGGAAUCUUCCGCAAUGGGCGAAAGCCUGACGGAGCAACGCCGCGUGAGUGAUGAAGGUCUUCGGAUCGUAAAACUCUGUUAUUAGGGAAGAACAAAUGUGUAAGUAUCUAUGCACGUCUUGACGGUACCUAAUCAGAAAGCCACGGCUAACUACGUG